AGUGAACGCUGGCGGGAGGAUGAACACAUGCAAGUCGAACGGCAGCACAGUAAUAGCUUUCCUUUACUGGUGGCGAGUGGCGUACGGGUUAGGUAUCCAUCGCUUUCUUCUUUUUUGUGUGGGGUAACGUAGGGCUACUUACGCUAAUACCUCAUACGACCUACGGGUGAAAUCAGGAGAUCUGCGGAUCUUGCGCGAUUUAAUGAGUCGAUGUCGGAUUAGUUAGUUGGCGGGGUAAAGGCGCACCAAGGCGACGCUCCGUAGCUAGGCUGAGAGGAUGAUCAGCCACACUGAAACUGAGACACGGUCCAGACUCCUAGGGGCGGCAGCAGUGGGGAAUAUUGGAAGAUGGGGGGAAGCCUGAACCAGGCGUACCGCGUGGAUGAAGAAGGGCUUCGGGUUGUAAGGCGCUUUUGUUGGGGAAGAAAAGCAGCAGGAUAAUACACCGCUGUGCUGACGGUACCCAAAGAAUAAGCACCGGCUAACUUCGUG
rnacentral:rRNA from 1 species